UGCUUCCCUAUGUACCCACCUAGCUUGUUUUAAGCAAUAUUGCAUCUGAGUCAUCUUAGUUAGAGGUGAUCAAAAAAUCCUGUAUAAUCUGUUGUGACACUUCUUCAUCCUGAGAGAUAUUUUCCCAAGUGUUUAAUAAAAUGAGAAAGCAGAAAGUCUUCUGAGGCUUUUUUAUAUGGAGAUUAACAUGGUCACCCCCUCCCCCCAGAGGAAUGAAAACACCCUUAGGGGACCUCUAAUCUAAAGAGAUGAAAAGAGAAGGUAUUAUUCUGGUGUUAUGCCUGCUCAGCUUCCUUCCUUUUUCUUGUGUUCUAAUGGAGACUAGCUACUUUCAUUUCUUUUUUUUAAAAAAAAAAUAUUAAUUGGUGUUAUUUUUAAUUAUGUGUAUGAGUGUCUGUGUAUGGCUAUGUGUAAGUGAGGACAGGCACAUGAGGAAUCUAGAGACUGCAGGUCCCUCUGGAGCUGGUAUUUCAGGCAGUUGUAACCUGCCUAUGUAGGUGCUGCAACCCUAAUUCAGGUCCCCUGAAAGAGCAGGGCCUGCUCUUCACCACAGCACCAUCUCUGCAGUGUGGCUGCUCCAGCUUCUUAGUCUAGGAGAGAUCGGUGAGGCUAACCAUAGUACGCCUUCAUCUCCAGAAAGGACUCUGGAGGCGCCUUGAUUAACUCUAAAUUGGGGACUUUCUUGGGUGUGGGAAGUUAUUUUUUUUUUUAAAUAGAAAAUCAGAAGAGUAAUAAACAAAUUGGAGCGAGUUGGUAAAAACUGACCCAAACCUGGUCUAUUGGAACAAUUCCACUCCACUACCUGAAAGAUUUUGUUCCGUCAUGGGGACAUGCUCCAAUCCCAAACAGUACAAUCUCUAUAAACACUUGAUGAGCUAAUUGAGAAAGUCAAUGUUUCAACACAGUUGUUACAUUGGAAGUCUGUAAGCCUAGAGGUGAUCCUGGACAACAUGGUCCCUGGAGAGGGAAGAGCUGAUGGGGAAUAAAUCGAGGCAGAAGAAAGAGGAACCGAGAGCAGGAGCUCAACACUCAGGGACAUCAACUGCUUCUAUCCACGUUUCCUUGUAACUUCAUCAGAAUGUCAUUUGUACACCCCGGUAUAUUUGUUGUUGUUGUUUGUGUAGCUAUGUAUGUGCAUUUGUCUGUGCCACAUCACAUGAGAAUGGGUGAGAGGACAAGCUUGGUUGUUGGUCCUUCCCCCACACCUUGUAAGAGGCAGCCCCUUAGUUGUUCUUCGUUGUGCUCUCUGGAGCUUCCAAGGGUUCUCACGCCUUUGCCUCGCAUCUCACCACAGAAGCACAGGUAUUACAAAGGCCCUAGGAAGCUUCCAGAUUAUUUGGCUUCUGGGAUUUCUAAACUCCGGUAAUUUGUGCCACAAGUGAUUUAUUCACUGAACUAUCUCCCAGCUUCUGAUAAAUUCUUUUCUCCAAAACUAGUCAGAAUUGAGUUCCAAUGGCUUAUAUCAGAUAUGAAAAUCCAACUGAUAGUUUGUCCUCUGCCAUCAAGUGAGGUAAACACUGUGAGAGAGACACCACAGAGGAAGAAGCUAUAUUCAGUUGCAGGAAAUGACCUAGAAUGGUACAAAGUGAUAAGACAUCCUAAAAGCUAAUUGGUCACAGAAGAAUAUAAAAAAUGUUUAUAUAGAGAAACAGAAAAUAGAUGCAAAAGACAAUAAAAAUCUCCCAAG
rnacentral:lncRNA from 1 species